AGGGUCGGAUAUGAAAUAAAAACAAAAGAUGCUUUUUGUUAUAAAAGGCUUCAUCGCCAAGUUGAACAGCUUGGUUAGAAUACAUGUGUAUGAAAGCUGUAAUGUAAAACAGAUUUAAGUUACAAACUAACCGAAUCUUGUUAUUGAAGCACAUACACUGUUGAAAUUGUAAUAAUAAAUAACAUCAUUCAUUGUUACGACCUC
rnacentral:misc_RNA from 1 species